CACGUAGGGCGAAAGCGUUGUCCGGAAUUAUUGGGCGUAAAGAGCUCGUAGGCGGUCUGUUGCGUCCGCUGUGAAAACUCGGGGCUUAACCCCGAGCCUGCAGUGGAUACGGGCAGACUAGAGGUAGGUAGGGGAGAAUGGAAUUCCCGGUGUAGCGGUGAAAUGCGCAGAUAUCGGGAGGAACACCAAUGGCGAAGGCAGCUCGCUGGGACGGUACUGACGCUGAGGCGCGAAAGCGUGGGGAGCAAACAGG
rnacentral:rRNA from 1 species